GGCUUCAUUUCUAUCAUCUUUACUUGGACAGUGUGUUAUUUUCUCUCUCCAACUCAACUUUCUGUUAAUCUGUUGAUUUUCCCUUUUUUCAAUCAAAUGCAUAACUGAAAUCAAAAUUGAUGAAAUUCAAAGAGGAAAUUCGUGGAGGAGCUUACGAUAGAAUGAUUUUUGCUUCAAUUAUGUCAAAUCGGAUUUUCUUUCUCCAUUUUUUUCAGUUCGACCUAGGGUCUAAGUUACUUGUAUUCCUCUUCGAUCUUUUUUCUUACAGACCUCGUAAAUGUAUUUUUAUUUUUGAAAUUUUUUAUCUGUCUUUUUUAUUAAAUUCUCAAUUUGGUGUUUUAUUUGAUUUGCAUAUCUGAAACUUUUUCUUGCAUGGUAGCUCAAGUUUAGUAGCUCAACUCUACAAUGGUAUCUCAUGUGUAGACUGGAGCUUUACAUCUAGAUGUAAAGACAUUGAACUACUUCGGAAAACAUAUUUUCAUAGAUCUUGUUCUAACUAUUGUCGUCGAGGUUGUUUUUGUUGGUAGGGUGGGGUAUUGGUUGCUGAGAUUACCUUGAUUCCAUUUUAAUUUUUGUGCAAAUAAAAAAAUGAGAAUGCCUUGAUUCCAUUUUGAUUUUUCAAAUAAAAAGAUGGGAACUGCUCUGGCUGUGGUAUGUUGUUUUCACCACAGUUUUCAUUGUUCUUUCAAUUAGUGAAAAGUAAAAUUUCUUAACCCAUUCUUUCUUGUACAUUGUUAGUUGGUGUAUGUUGGUCCUGAGUUUGUUCAUCCUUAUUUUAGGCUUCUAAUUAUCGCGAAAAAAUUCGGUUCUAGUAGAAAUUCUUAGUUAUGCGUUGCUUAACUUUCAUCAUUAUUGUGUUGUUUGGAGUUUAAUCUCAUGAUUAUGAUGGUGGUUAUCAGAAAUAGACACAGGCCCAACGAUUUAAUAGUAGAGCAUUGUGAUGUUAACAACACAAUCUACAGGUGAAAAUGAGUGAAAGAGAAAGAAUUUUAUUGAACCUACAUAAAUCCUUAGUGAUGGUUACUUCCGGUGAAAAUCAGGUAAAAUGUUACUUUUUUACUAUUUAGUCAUUUGAGGGUAUAGGUGCCGGUCACCUCAUCUCCUUUCUUACCUGCCCUUAUUAGUAGCAGACAACUUUUUUUCUCGCUUUUCGUUCAAUUUUUCUAGAUAAAGGUUGGGUGGUGUAGGUUGGAACCGCAUUUUGGUGAAUUGCUUGCUUGAGUUAGAGUGGAUUGAAUUGAUGCUACACCACCUCUAUACAUGAUUCGUUUGCUUUGACAUAUGACCAGUAUUUGGGGUGCAUAUUUACUUCACCUUCCUAAGCUGUUAUUCGGUUCCCCUUCCCAUUUUUCCUAAGCUUUUAUCCGAUUCUUCUUUUUUUCUUUUCCAUUUAUUUAUUGUGGUAGGGAUCCUCAAAGAAAGUGCAAGUUUCUACUGUCUACAUUGUUAUAAUACUAAGAGAUUUUAUCUCCAAAACAGCAAGUGAUGGUUGUGAGUGAAGGUUUUUCCUUAUUUUUUUUAAUGUCUCUCUUUUUUCGGUGAGGACUUGUUAAAGUUUAUGCAGUCAACAAAAUGCUAGCUUCCGUACAAUGAUUUUCCUGAUAAACGCUAUGGAAGACUUAUGAAAUAAAAAUAGAAUUGCCUCACCUGUGAAAUUUUAGCUUCUAUGUAAAUUAUGAUGUGCUUUUGACUUUCGAGAUGUGGAUUUUAUUUUCUUCUGUUUGCACCCACCUAUGAUUAUUCUUCUGUUGUGGGCUUAUUUUGCUCCAUGCUACAACUUGAUCUUCAUCAGAAAAAAAUUUCUUCAUAAGAAAAGAAGCUGAUCAAAAGUCAAACUUUCUCUAUUUCAUAUAAAACCUCGUUUAGUUUUUGCAUAUUAUUACUGCAUUGUUGUGUGCUGUGGCUUUCAUGAGAUGACAAUCUUGCAAUAGGAACAACCCUUUCUCUUUUGUAAAAUGAAAUUGGAGAAAUCUUUUAAAUGAAAGGAACAAAAAGGGUGAGAACCAAAGAUCUAUUCAGAAACGUGCUUCAACAUUUUUGCACUGCAGUAUUGUAAGGAUUAAGAAGUAUGUAUGCGUUCAUGUCAAAAAAAUUUAUCCUUGAGAUUUGAUAAUAGAUUGCAUAAGACGUUUCUUCAAAACUGUUGAGAUGAGGAUAUGAAGACAGUGUAAGUUUUGAUAAACUUGAAGUAUGGGAGUCAGUCGCAGACAGAGCUAGUAUUUUUCUCUCUCUGCAAAGCUUAAAGAGGUGUAGAUGUCUUUCUUCUUAGGCUUUUGCUAUUGAAACUUACAAAAACAAACCCAUUCACAUAUAAAAAGUUGUAGCAUCCAGUCAAAAGGAAUACCUAGCAUCUGUUUUUCAUUAUUCUCACAUACAUAAAAUGAACUUCUGUUAUUGUUUCAACCUUCUUGUCUGUUUUUUUCCUUUUUGUCUGAAAAAUGAAACUUAUGAUUAUUUCGGGUUCUAAUUUAAAAUUUAAUUGGCUAGACUUUCCAUGACUGAGUAAAUGAUGGUCAAAGGGCUCACAAAGUAUGAGUACAAACAGAUCACUCCAAACCUGCCAAGAGCAGUUAAUAGGAGGAUGGUGUCCUCGAUAAUGCUCCAAAUUAAAAUCACUAUUUACUACAAUAAACAAAUUCAGAUGCAGUCUUGAGCUGAACGAAGAUAGUAGAGUGACGAUAAAUAUCCAUUUAUAGUGUAAUAGAGAUGCUACAUGUAGCGGUAGAUUAAUUUGUGUAAAUGUCAUGUUCUUUGUUAGGGACUAACGGGCUAGCUGUUUUCUAUUGCUUAGAAAUCUCUAAUGGAAUCUUAAUGAUUUAAUUCCAGUCUUUCAUAAAUGUUGUUUUCGCACUUUGUGGUGCUGGUGAUUCGGUUGUUAUGUUUGCACCAUACUAUUUCAAUGCAUACAUGUAAUUCCAAAUGACAGGUGUUACCGAUAUUCUGGCGGGUUCUGUUGAUGCAAAGACACUUCAGCCUGAUGCAAGUGCAGUGAGUUUCUUUAUGUGCCGUAGGAGGGGUUGCUAAAUUGUUUUCUCAUACAACAGGAAAGACAAGAAAAGAGAAGAGGUGUUCAUCAAUCUACAAACACAAAAGUUAUUUAUCCAUGAUUUAGAUGAUUAAUCCCCAUUCAAAUGAAUGAAAGAAGGAAGAAGAUUGAGAUAUGGUUAUGAAUGAAGGGAGGAUGCUACAGAACAAUUUGUGAAGUGUUACGUUUAGGGUUCUUUUUGUUCUUAAAGAAGUGUUUGUUGUUGUAAUACCAUAAAUGCCCUUGACUAUGUUGACAGAUCUGUUAAAAUUACAAAUUGCCGUUACUUAAAGGAUUAAAAUCAUUUACUUUGA